UACGUAGGGUGCAAGCGUUAAUCGGAAUUACUGGGCGUAAAGCGUGCGCAGGCGGUUGUGCAAGACAGAUGUGAAAUCCCCGGGCUCAACCUGGGAAUUGCAUUUGUGACUGCACGGCUAGAGUGUGUCAGAGGGGGGUAGAAUUCCACGUGUAGCAGUGAAAUGCGUAGAGAUGUGGAGGAAUACCGAUGGCGAAGGCAGCCCCCUGGGAUAACACUGACGCUCAUGCACGAAAGCGUGGGGAUCAAACAGG
rnacentral:rRNA from 1 species